GAUGAACGCUAGCGGCAGGCUUAAUACAUGCAAAUCGUGGGGCAGCAGGGUUGUAGCAAUACAAUCGCUGGCGACCGGCAAACGGGUGCGUAACACGUACGCAACCUUCCCGUUACUGUGGCAUAGCCCAGGGAAACUUGGAUUAAUACCACAUAUUAUAUUGAGGGGGCAUCCCUUUGAUAUCAAAGCUUCGGCGGUAACGGAUGGGCGUGCGGUUGAUUAGGUAGUUGGCGGGGUAACGGCCCACCAAGCCUACGAUCAAUAGCUGAUGUGAGGGAAUGAGCAGCCACACGGGCACUGAGAGACGGGCCCGACUCCUACGGGAGGCAGCAGUAAGGAAUAUUGGGCAAUGGACGAAAGUCUGACCCAGCCAUGCCGCGUGAAGGAUUAAGGUCCUCUGGAUUGUAAACUUCUUUUCUCUGGGGCGAAAACCAGCUAUUCUUAGCUAUUUGACAGUACCAGAGGAAUAAGCACCGGCUAACUCCGUGCCAGCCGCCGCCGUAAGAC
rnacentral:rRNA from 1 species